AGUGAACGCUGGCGGCGUGCCUAAUACAUGCAAGUCGAACGAAGUGGCGCACGGGUGAGUAAUAUAUAGUUAAUCUGCCCUACACAGAGGAACAACAGUUGGAAACGCCUGCUAAUACCUCAUAGUGUAGGAUGGGACUAUAUCGUAUCAGAUAGUUGGUAAGGUAAUGGCUUACCAAGGGUAUGACGCGUAACUGGUCUGAGAGGAUGAUCAGUGACAUUGUAACUGAGACACGGUCGGAACUCCUACGGAAGGGAGCGAAAAUUGAUAUUGCGCAAUGGGGGGAACCCAGAAGCAGCUACGCCGCGUGGAGGAUGACACUUUUCGGAGCGUAAGCUCCUUUUAUAAGGAAAGCGGUACCUAAUGAAUAAGCACCGGCUAACUACGUGCCAGCAGCCGCGGUAAUAC
rnacentral:rRNA from 1 species